rnacentral:rRNA from 1 species
CCUACGGGAGGCAGCAGUGGGGAAUUUUGGACAAUGGGCGCAAGCCUGAUCCAGCCAUGCCGCGUGCGGGAAGAAGGCCUUCGGGUUGUAAACCGCUUUCGGCCGGAACGAAAUCGCCCGGGUGAACAUCCCGGGUGGAUGACGGUACCGGAAGAAGAAGCACCGGCUAACUACGUGCCAGCAGCCGCGGUAAUACGUAGGGUGCGAGCGUUAAUCGGAAUUACUGGGCGUAAAGCGUGCGCAGGCGGUCUCGUAAGACAGGUGUGAAAUCCCCGGGCUCAACCUGGGAACUGCGCUUGUGACUGCGAGGCUGGAGUGUGGCAGAGGGAGGUGGAAUUCCACGUGUAGCAGUGAAAUGCGUAGAGAUGUGGAGGAACACCGAUGGCGAAGGCAGCCUCCUGGGCCAGCACUGACGCUCAUGCACGAAAGCGUGGGGAGCAAACAGGAUUAGAUACCCUGGUAGUCCACGCCCUAAACGAUGACGACUGGUUGUUGGGGUAGAAGUACCUUAGUAACGCAGCUAACGCGUGAAGUCGUCCGCCUGGGGAGUACGGUCGCAAGAUUAAAACUCAAAGGAAUUGACGG